UUUAAAGGGUUUGAAAACCUUCAGUUUCAGGUUUUAUCUCUUUUUCUCUCAUUUUCUCCUCGACAGCAUCUCUGCCCAUUUUGUCAACUUCUUCCUUCUUCUGUUAGCGAUGUUGCCACCUCUUUUUCCAUUGUUAUGGCUACUUUUACCAAUGUUGCCAUUCCCUUGACUCUUUUUUGCCAGUCAUUGCUCGAAAAACCCAUUUAAAAAACAUAUAGGAAAAUACCUGAAAAUCCCGAUCAAUCUAUUUAGGGAUUGAGGCCUUUAGUUGGAUAGGGAUAUAACAAUGCAAAAGAAUCUGCGCUUUGUCUUUUACUUCUACCCAAAGCCUUCGACAAAGCAAAGCCACAGCAAAACGCAAAAUAAGUUUGUUAUACUACUUUAUUUUGCACUCUUGUUUUUUAACUUUUUGGACUAAACCGUUCUUCAAAUCUUCUUUCUCUUUCUCUCCCUUUGUUGGCUUUCAUUAUUGUCUCAUUUCCCUGUCACCAACACUACUUUUCUUCUUCAAAUACCAGAUCUGAUUACUUCUAUAACUUGGGAUUCCAGAAAUGCUAGGACCAGUUUAACAUUCUUAUGUAUGUGAUAUCCAAGUCUUUAGUUUUUUCCUAUUCCUUUCUUACAUUUUUUAUUACUAUUAUCAAUAUCAUAUUAGUAAUUGCUAUUUGGUUUUCAAAAAUAAACUUUAAAAUCUAGUAAGCUGGCAUUUAGGCUUUUUUUUUUUUUCUCUUUGCUAGCAUUGAUUUGCCAAGUUGGAUUUUUAUGUUGAAAAGUAAGUGGUUUAGACACCUUUCAAUUUAAAAAGUUUAUAAAUCCUUCAAUCCAAGGUGUUGAAAUUUAUAUUUUCUGGGCUUUUCAAGGAAUGCAGAUAGUUAAGCUAAGUAAUAAGGGUAUUUAUUGUGGAAUCUAGCUUUAAUCUCUGUAUGGAAGUUGUACUACAAAAUGGGCCAAAAAGGUGUCAAAUUCAUUCUUAAAAUUAGGACAUUUCCUUUUCAAUUGUUAGAGUUGUGAUUAACAAAUUACUCUAUUGUAGAUUAGAACAAUCUGUGAAAGAAAUAUCAAACUUUAAUAGACCAAAAACUGUUCGCAUCAAUCCAGAAGAAUAUGGUGAUCUGUCUUUUCUAUCACUUUAUAAGUGAUUAAACCAGGGUAGAAGAUCUAUGCAAGAUUGAAAGAAGGGCGAAAAUGGAGUUAAUAAGCUCUACCACAAGAGGUUUUGUUGUGUCAUUUGGUUCUUUCAUUGGAUUUUUGCCUUAAUGCAACCUAGCUGCUAAAUGGAAGUUCUUAGCAAGCUCAUGGUUGAGAUAGAAAGGCUUAGAACCAUCUGCUUAUAAGUAAAAUUUAGGAUUCAUUGAAGUUCUGAUUUAGCUCCAACAAUUUGAGGGAAAAUAUUUGUAUGCUAUCAACUAAACAUUUGAGGGAAAAUAACUCUUCUUGAGCUCUGGUUUAGCUCCAACAUUCCUGGUAUGAUAGCUUUUGCAUCAACUACAUACAGUAGGCUAAAGUUGGUGAGGAUUAAAUAGAAUAAUUUACAUCAAAUGUAUCUACUCAUAUUUUAAUUUUGGUUGGAGAGUUUGUAUUGAUUUAUUGAUUAUUAGUCAUGCUUCAUUAGUAAACAUUUGUUUGAAUGCUGUUCCUUUAACGCAUGUCCAUUUUUGUUGAAACUUGAGAAAACAAUGAGCUCAUA